GUAGGAACCUACCCCUUGGCGGGGAAUAACCAUUUGAAAGAAUGGCUAAUACCGCAUAAGAUUUUUAAAUGUAAGGACGUAACUGUCCACCGAGGGAGGGGCCUGCGGCCCAUCAGCUUGUUGGUGAGGUAAUGGCUCACCAAGGCUAUGACGGGUAGGGGACGUGAGAGCGUGUUCCCCCAGAAUGGUACAGAGAACGGAC
rnacentral:rRNA from 1 species